AUUGAACGCUGGCGGCAUGCUUUACACAUGCAAGUCGAACGGUAACAGGUUAAGCUGACGAGUGGCGAACGGGUGAGUAAUGCAUCGGAACGUGCCCGACCGUGGGGGAUAACGCAGCGAAAGCUGCGCUAAUACCGCAUACGAUCUGAGGAUGAAAGCGGGGGACCGUAAGGCCUCGCGCGAUCGGAGCGGCCGAUGUCAGAUUAGGUAGUUGGUGGGGUAAAGGCCCACCAAGCCGACGAUCUGUAGCUGGUCUGAGAGGACGACCAGCCACACUGGGACUGGGACACGGCCCAGACUCCUACGGGAGGCAGCAGUGGGGAAUUUUGGACAAUGGGCGAAAGCCUGAUCCAGCAAUGCCGCGUGCAGGAAGAAGGCCUUCGGGUUGUAAACUGCUUUUGUACGGAGCGAAAAGGUCCUUUCUAAUACAAGGGGCUCAUGACGGUACCGUAAGAAUAAGCACCGGCUAACUACGUGCCAGCCGCCGCCGAAA
rnacentral:rRNA from 1 species